GAUGAACGCUGGCGGCGUGCCUAAUACAUGCAAGUCGAGCGAACGGACGAGAAGCUUGCUUUUCUGAUGUUAGCGGCGGACGGGUGAGUAACACGUGGAUAACCUACCUAUAAGACUGGGAUAACUUCGGGAAACCGGAGCUAAUACCGGAUAAUAUUUUGAACCGCAUGGUUCAAAAGUGAAAGACGGUCUUGCUGUCACUUAUAGAUGGAUCCGCGCUGCAUUAGCUAGUUGGUAAGGUAACGGCUUACCAAGGCAACGAUGCAUAGCCGACCUGAGAGGGUGAUCGGCCACACUGGAACUGAGACACGGUCCAGACUCCUACGGGAGGCAGCAGUAGGGAAUCUUCCGCAAUGGGCGAAAGCCUGACGGAGCAACGCCGCGUGAGUGAUGAAGGUCUUCGGAUCGUAAAACUCUGUUAUUAGGGAAGAACAUAUGUGUAAGUAACUGUACACAUCUUGACGGUACCGAAUCAGAAAGCCACGGCUAACUACGU
rnacentral:rRNA from 1 species